rnacentral:rRNA from 1 species
UACGAAGGGUGCAAACGUUGCUCGGAAUCAUUGGGCGUAAAGCGCACGUAGGCGGCCUCAUAAGUCGGAUGUGAAAUCCCUCGGCUCAACCGAGGAAGUGCAUCCGAAACUGCGAGGCUCGAGUAUGGAAGAGGGUCGCAGAAUUCCCGGUGUAGAGGUGAAAUUCGUAGAUAUUGGGAGGAAUACCAGUGGCGAAGGCGGCGACCUGGGCCAAUACUGACGCUGAGGUGCGAAAGCGUGGGGAGCAAACAGG